rnacentral:rRNA from 1 species
CGUAGGGGGCUAGCGUUAUCCGGAAUUACUGGGCGUAAAGGGUGCGUAGGUGGUUUCUUAAGUCAGAGGUGAAAGGCUACGGCUCAACCGUAGUAAGCCUUUGAAACUGGGAAACUUGAGUGCAGGAGAGGAGAGUGGAAUUCCUGGUGUAGCGGUGGAAUGCGCAGAGAUCAGGAGGAAUACCGAAGGCGAAGGCAGUCUUCCAAGCCGUUAUUGACGCUCAACUGCGAAGGUGUGGGUAUCAAACAGGAUUAGAUACCCGGGUAGUCCCUGAGCGGG